rnacentral:lncRNA from 1 species
GAGUGUGCCUCCAGAGUGUCCUGCUACAAAAGAUACCACUCAGUCAGCCGUCGAAUUUGCUUUACGGAAGAUAUGCCUGAUGAUCAAUACAGUGCACCCUCUCAACAGCCUCUCAGCAUCAUACAGAAGGAGGUGGGUGGGUCUACUAUGGGUACAACUCUGCAACCACGUGAUCAUCGUGGCUGAAUCGCCCUCUACAAUAAUCUGGAUCGCCCCC